rnacentral:rRNA from 1 species
AUUGAACGCUGGCGGCAUGCUUUACACAUGCAAGUCGGACGAGUGGCGAACGGGUGAGUAACGCCUCGGAACGUACCGAGUCAUGGGGGAUAACUUUCAUAAAGGACAGAUAAUACCGCAUAUUAUUCGAGCGGCCGAUGUCUGUUUAGCUGGUUGGCGGGGUAAAGGCCCACCACGGCGACGAUCAGUAUCGGGGCUGAGAGGAUGAUCCGCCACACGGGGACUGAGACACGGCCCAGACUCCUACGGGAGGCAGCAGUGGGGAAUUUGGGACAAUGGGCGCAAGCCUGAUCCAGCCAUGCCGCGUGUCUGAAGAAGGCCUUCGGGUUGUAAAGGACUUUUGUCAGGGAAGCGGUACCUGAAGAAUAAGCACCGGCUAACUACGUGCCAGCAGCCGCGGUAAUUC